AGCCCAAAAAGAGCCGUCACAGCUGCCAAAGUAGCUCAGUUAGGAGAGUGUUAGACUGAAGAUCUGAAGGUCUCUAGUUUAAUCCCAGGCUUUGGCAGGCACUUUCAUCUCCCUUUUCAGCUGUGGGC